rnacentral:rRNA from 1 species
UAGCAUAUCAAUAAGCGGAGGAAAAGAAACCAACAGGGAUUGCCUCAGUAACGGCGAGUGAAGCGGCAAAAGCUCAAAUUUGAAAUCUGGCUCCAUGCGGAGCCCGAGUUGUAAUUUGGAGAGGACACUUCGGGUGCGGCCACGGCAUAAGUUCCUUGGAACAGGACGUCAUAGAGGGUGAGAAUCCCGUCUUUGGCUGCUGGACCGCGCCCAUGCGAAGUUCCUUCGACGAGUCGAGUUGUUUGGGAAUGCAGCUCUAAGUGGGUGGUAAAUUUCAUCUAAAGCUAAAUAUUGGCCGGAGACCGAUAGCGCACAAGUAGAGUGAUCGAAAGGUUAAAAGCACCUUGAAAAGGGAGUUAAAUAGCACGUGAAAUUGUUGAAAGGGAAGCGCUUGCAACCAGACUCGGUCGUGGGGGCUCAGCGGGCAUGCGUGCCCGUGUACUCCCCCAUGCUCCGGGCCAGCAUCAGUUCUGGCGGUUGGUUAAAGGCCUCUGGAAUGUAUCGUCCUCCGGGACGUCUUAUAGCCAGGGGCGCAAUGCGGCCAGCCGGGACUGAGGAACGCGCUUCGGCACGGAUGCUGGCAUAAUGGUUGUAAGCGGCCCGUCUUGAAACACGGACCAAGGAGUCUAACAUCCACGCGAGUGUUCGGGUGUCAAACCCGUGCGCGCAGUGAAAGCGAACGGAGGUGGGAGCCCGCAAGGGUGCACCAUCGACCGAUCCUGAAGUCUUCGGAUGGAUUUGAGUAAGAGCGUGGCUGUUGGGACCCGAAAGAUGGUGAACUAUGCCUGAAUAGGGUGAAGCCAGAGGAAACUCUGGUGGAGGCUCGCAGCGGUUCUGACGUGCAAAUCGAUCGUCAAAUUUGGGUAUAGGGGCGAAAGAAUAAUCGAACCAUCUGGUAGCUGGUCUGCAA